CGAGAAAGGGAUUGCUUGCAAUCCUGAGUAGAGUGGCGCACGGGUGAGUAACACGUAGAUAAUCUACCUUCAAGCCUGGGAUAACAGUUCGAAAGGGCUGCUAAUACCGGAUGAAGUAUAUAGACACAAGUCAAUAUAUGAAAGAUUGCCUCUUCUUGAAAGCAAUUGUUUGGAGAUGAGUUUGCGGACCAUUAGUUUGUUGGUGGGGUAAAGGCCUACCAAGACUACGAUGGUUAGCUGGUCUGAGAGGAUGAUCAGUCACACUGGAACUGGAACACGGUCCAGACUCCUACGGGAGGCAGCAGUGAGGAAUUUUGCGCAAUGGGGGAAACCCUGACGCAGCAACGCCGCGUGAGUGAAGAAGGCCUUUGGGUCGUAAAGCUCUGUCAAUUGGGAAGAAGUUACAACAUAUUAAUAGUGUGUUGUAUUGACGGUACCAAUGGAGGAAGCGCCGGCUAACUCCGUGCCAGCAGCCGCGGUAACACGGGGGGCGCAAGCGUUAUUCGGAAUUAUUGGGCGUAAAGGGCGCGUAGGCGGUCUUAUCGGUCAGAUGUGAAAGCCCAGGGCUCAACCCUGGACGUGCAUUUGAAACAGUAAGACUUGAGUACGG
rnacentral:rRNA from 1 species